AACGAACGCUGGCGGCGUGCCUAACACAUGCAAGUCGUGCGAGAAAGUUCCUUCGGGAGCGAGUAAAGCGGCGCACGGGUGAGUAACACGUAGGUAACCUGCCCCCCAGUCUGGAACAACUAGAGGAAACUCUAGCUAAUGCCGGAUGAGACCACGAUCCCUUCGGGGGUUGCGGCCAAAGAUGGCCUCUACUUGUAAGCUAUCGCUGAGGGAUGGGCCUGCGGGCCAUUAGCUUGUUGGUGAGGUAACGGCUCACCAAGGCUGUGAUGGCUAGCUGGUCUGAGAGGAUGACCAGCCACACUGGGACUGAGACACGGCCCAGACUCCUACGGGAGGCAGCAGUGGGGAAUAUUGCGCAAUGGGCGAAAGCCUGACGCAGCGACGCCGCGUGGUGA
rnacentral:rRNA from 1 species